GUGGUAAAGCCUAAAAGUCAAAUUAAGAAAGAAAUAAUGAAUGAACUUAAUUAACUGAAUUUAUUUCUAGAGUUUACCAAGGGCUAUCUCAAGCUCAUAGCAGAUCCCUUUUCUUAGUUAAUAGUUUGAUCUCAAAAUAGUCAUGGGCAAAAAUAAAGAACUUGCAAAAUACUCAAUUUAGGUUUUUUCCUCAGGCAGCAACUACUAAUAUGUAGUGGUAGCUAAGACAGAGCUAACCACAAAACAAGGCUCAAGCAGCAGUAUAAUUGGUUUACAUUGGAGGCUUCCCAGAACCAAGCAGCUGACCAAUUAGAUUAGUAACCUGUUGUCAAUAUUUGAGAAUUAUUUCCCCGAUGAUUGAUUUCCAAGGCGUUAUGCGAAUUUGGGUGGAAAAUGAGUUUUCAAGGGAAAAUCUCAAGUUGGAAGGGCCUCUUGGUUGGCCAUGGGUUGGCUCGUUGCCCAAAUGGUUUCCCUAUACCAAGGUGCCCCGUGAGCUCCCAUGUCAAUUUUUGAGAAUUCAUUCCCCAAUGAUGGAUUUCCAAGACUAACCUAUGCGAAUUUAGGUGGAAAAUGAGUAGUGACAUGGGAUCUCACGGGGGCUCUCUAUGCCAAUGUGCCCCCGUGAGCGGAGCCCCCGUGAGCUCCCAGGUGCAUUAAAAUAAUGCGAGAGAAUGUGUAGUAGUGAGUGUUAACAAAACCAUACUCGUACCCCUUGUGUUUGAGUGAUUUAUUCAUAAUUUUAUCAUUAAUAUUAGUAGUUGAAUCAUUCUUAAUAAAAUUUAAACUGUGCUAUUAUUGCAUCUUUUAACUCAUUAAAGAGAAUCAUAUAUGUAUAUUAUCUUAAUUUACAUCUUAAGAGUAAAUUAUAUUUGAAGUAAAUGAAUAAGGGGGGUGAAAAACAUGUAAGAGGAUACAAUUCCUUUUCAACUAUUUUAUAUUAUUCUUUUUUCCCUCAAUUCACACAUCUUAAAAAUUCUUUCAUUUUCUCUGUAUUUUCUUUUCCUUCUAUAUUCUUUUUAUUCGUUUUUUCCCUCUUAUUUCCACUUCCCAUCCAAACAAAACAUAAAUAUCUUCGCAUGGAGAAAGAGCAACACAAAAGCAAUAAAGUUAACAUGAUGAUAAACUGUGGUAAAGCCUAAAAGUCAAAUUAAGAAAGAAAUAAUGAAUGAACUUAAUUAACUGAAUUUAUUUCUAGAGUUUACCAAGGGCUAUCUCAAGCUCAUAGCAGAUCCCUUUUCUUAGUUAAUAGUUUGAUCUCAAAAUAGUCAUGGGCAAAAAUAAAGAACUUGCAAAAUACUCAAUUUAGGUUUUUUCCUCAGGCAGCAACUACUAAUAUGUAGUGGUAGCUAAGACAGA
rnacentral:lncRNA from 1 species